rnacentral:rRNA from 1 species
CCUACGGGAGGCAGCAGUGGGGAAUAUUGCACAAUGGGGGAAACCCUGAUGCAGCGACGCCGCGUGAGUGAAGAAGUAAUUCGUUAUGUAAAGCUCUAUCAGCAGGGAAGAAAAUGACGGUACCUGAGUAAGAAGCGCCGGCUAACUACGUGCCAGCAGCCGCGGUAAUACGUAGGGGGCAAGCGUUAUCCGGAUUUACUGGGUGGAAAGGGAGCGUAGAUGGAAGUGCAAGUCUGGAGGGAAAGGCGGGGGCUCAACCCCCGGACUGCUCUGGAAACUGUACGGCUGGAGUGCAGGAGAGGUAAGUGGAAUUCCUAGUGUAGCGGUGAAAUGCGUAGAUAUUAGGAGGAACACCAGUGGCGAAGGCGGCUUACUGGACUGUAACUGACGUUGAGGCUCGAAAGCGUGGGGAGCAAACAGGAUUAGAUACCCUAGUAGUC